rnacentral:rRNA from 1 species
GACGAACGCUGGCGGCGUGCUUAACACAUGCAAGUCGAACGGAAAGGCCCUGCUUUGGUGGGGUGCUCGAGUGGCGAACGGGUGAGUAACACGUGAGUAACCUGCCCUUGACUUUGGGAUAACUUCAGGAAACUGGGGCUAAUACCGGAUAGGAGCUCCUGCUGCAUGGUGGGGGUUGGAAAGUUUCGGCGGUUGGGGAUGGACUCGCGGCUUAUCAGCUUGUUGGUGGGGUAGUGGCUUACCAAGGCUUUGACGGGUAGCCGGCCUGGGCGGGUGACCGGCCACAUUGCGCCUGAGCUGCGGCCCAGACUCCUACGGGAGGCAGCAGUGGGGAAUAGUGCACAAUGGGCGGAACCCUGAUGCAGCACCGCCGCGUGCGGGAUGACGGCCUUCGGGUUGUAUACCGCUUUCGCCUGUGCCGAAGCGUGAGUGACGGUAAUGGGUAAAGAAGCACCGGCUAACUACGUG